GACGAACCGUCCAAACGUUGUUCGGAAUCACUGGGCUUAAAGGGCGCGUAGGCGGGCUCCCAAGUCGGUGGUGAAAUCUUUCGGCCCAACCGGAAAAGUGCCGCCGAUACUGGGAGCCUCGAGGGAGGUAGGGGUCGAGGGAACUUCCGGUGGAGCGGUGAAAUGCGUAGAUAUCGGAAGGAACGCCGGUGGCGAAAGCGCUCGACUGGACCUCUUCUGACGCUGAGACGCGAAAGCGUGGGGAGCAAACAGG
rnacentral:rRNA from 1 species